GUAUUCAAAGUCCACAAAACUUGUAUUCCAAUUCUUCCUAAGAGGGAAACAAUAGAGUUAACACAAUCAUAUAGCAAUUAUCAAUCUCUCUAUUCGCACUCUAAGGUCACUACUCCAACUGAAAGGAUCAUCCCUGGAACACAUUCCGAGGGAGGCUAAUGCAAUAGCAGACUUACUAGCAAAACAUGGAAGAGAAAUGAGAGAGCGACAUAUGAUCAACAAUCAAACUUGAUUUUUUUUGAAGCAUCUCCUUCUCUAGUAAUAGAUGCAUUAGAAAGCGAUGUGAUUGGAACUAUAUCGUAUGGACUAGUUCCACCUUUGUAUGGUUGGACAUAUUAUUAUCUAAAUAAAAUCCUUCUAUUA